UCUGUGCACACACUGACUAUAGAGAAUUCUCCACCUAUAGAAUACUGAGAGAUCUGUGCACACACUGACUAUAGAGAGCUCUCCACCUAUAGAUAACUGAGAGAUCUGUGCAUACACUGACCAUAGAGAGCUUUGCACCUACAGAAUACUGGGAGAUCUGUGCACACACUGACUAUAGAGAGCUCUCCACCUAUAGAAUACUGACAGAUCUAGGCACACACUGACUAUAGAGAGCUCUCCACCUAUAGAUGACUGAGAGAUCUAGGCACACACUGACUAUAGAGAGCUCUCCACCUAUAGAUUACUGAGAGAUCUGUGCACACACUGACUAUAGAGAGCUCUCCACCUAUAGAUGACUGAGAGAUCUGUGCACACACUGACUAUAGAGAGCUCCACCUAUAGAU